AUUGAACGCUGGCGGCAUGCUUUACACAUGCAAGUCGAACGGUAACAGGCCGCAAGGUGCUGACGAGUGGCGAACGGGUGAGUAAUGCAUCGGAACGUGCCCAGUCGUGGGGGAUAACGCAGCGAAAGCUGCGCUAAUACCGCAUACGAUCUAUGGAUGAAAGCGGGGGACCGUAAGGCCUCGCGCGAUUGGAGCGGCCGAUGUCAGAUUAGGUAGUUGGUGGGGUAAAGGCUAACCAAGCCGACGAUCUGUAGCUGGUCUGAGAGGACGACCAGGCACACUGGGACGGAGGAACGGCCCAGGCUCCUCCGGGAGGCAGCAGUGGGGAAUUUUGGACAAUGGGCGCAAGCGUGAUCCAGCAAGGCCGCGUGCAGGAAGAAGGCCUUCGGGUUGUAAACUGCUUUUGUACGGAACGAAACGGCUCUGGUUAAUACCUGGGGCUAAUGACGGUACCGUAAGAAUAAGCACCGGCUAACUACGUGCCAGCAGCCGCAGUAACAC
rnacentral:rRNA from 1 species